rnacentral:rRNA from 1 species
CGCGGUAAUACGGAGGGUGCAAGCGUUAAUCGGAAUUACUGGGCGUAAAGCGCACGCAGGCGGUCUGUCAAGUCGGAUGUGAAAUCCCCGGGCUCAACCUGGGAACUGCAUUCGAAACUGGCAGGCUAGAGUCUUGUAGAGGGGAGUAGAAUUCCAGGUGUAGCGGUGAAAUGCGUAGAGAUCUGGAGGAAUACCGGUGGCGAAGGCGGCCCCCUGGACAAAGACUGACGCUCAGGUGCGAAAGCGUGGGGAGCAAACAGGAUUAGAUACCCUGGUAGUCCACGCCGUAAACGAUGUCGAUUUGGAGGUUGUGCCCUUGAGGCGUGGCUUCCGGAGCUAACGCGUUAAAUCGACCGCCUGGGGAGUACGGCCGCAAGGUUAAAACUCAAAUGAAUUGACGGGGGCCCGCACAAGCGGUGGAGCAUGUGGUUUAAUUCGAUGCAACGCGAAGAACCUUACCUGGUCUUGGCAUCCACAGAACUUAGCAGAGAUGCUUUGGUGCCUUCGGGAACUGUGAGACAGGUGCUGCAUGGCUGUCGUCAGCUCGUGUUGUGAAAUGUUGGGUUAAGUCCCGCAACGAGCGCAACCCUUAUCCUUUGUUGCCAGCGGUUAGGCCGGGAACUCAAAGGAGACUGCCAGUGAUAAACUGGA